AUUGAACGCUGGCGGCAGGCCUAACACAUGCAAGUCGAACGAGUGGCGGACGGGUGAGUAAUGUCUGGGAAACUGCCUGAUGGAGGGGGAUAACUACUGGAAACGGUAGCUAAUACCGCAUACCAUCAGAUGUGCCCAGAUGGGAUUAGCUAGUUGGGGGGGUAAGGGCUCACCUAGGCGACGAUCCCUAGCUGGUCUGAGAGGAUGACCAGCAACACUGGAAAUGAGACACGGUCCAGACUCCUACGGGAGGCAGAAGUGGGGAAUAUUGCACAAUGGGCGCAAGCCGGAUGCAGCCAUGCCGCGUGUAGGAAGAAGGCCUUCGGGUUGUAAAGUACUUUCAGCGGGGAGGCGUUACCCGCAGAAGAAGCACCGGCUAACUCCGUGCCAGCAGCCGCGGUAAUAC
rnacentral:rRNA from 1 species